ACAAAAUGGCGACACGUGGUUAGCAUUCGUCGCCAACGAGAAAUUGGGGUCGGCCCGAAAGCUCUAGAAUGCACCCCUCUUCCUCCCCGGGGCCUUCCACCUCCGCGAGUUUUAUGACUUAAAAAAGCCCACAGGCUGGUCUGAAGAGGAAGACAAACAUAAAGAUGAAGUGCUUAAUUCAAGGUCACACAAUGUCGGGGAUGGACCUCCAGAUUUCCUUACUGACCUGCAUUAUCUUGUGGAUACCUGAGUGAAUUCCACACCACCCAUUUUAUAGAUGAAACCACUGAGACAUGGAGCAAUUGACUGAGUAGUCACUGCCCCACCCCUGCCUGGAGCCUCACACAUGACUCGCCUCCUCUCAGUGACCACAGGAAAACAAGCUCAGGGCUCCCACUGAUUGUACAUUAUGGUGAGACGUGGUCUUGUAACACAGUGGUUAAGAAUGUGACUUUGGAGCCAGCCUGCUAGGGGCUGAAUUCUGACUCAGCCAUUUACUAACUGUGUGACCUUAGGGAGGAGGACCUGGUUGAUAGAAGAAUUUAUCUCGUAGUCUUAACAUCCACUGUAAUUCCAAACUUUGAGGACGAUAGAGAUCAGUGGGCUUUGACUGCCCAGCAUGCAGUCUCCAUUCUUAGGUGGGUUCCCAAGCCUGUAAAAUGUAAGCCUUAUGCUGCUGAGGGCCAUCUUGCCACCCUGAGGGAAACGCUGCCUGAGAAUGAAACAAGCAUAAGUAAAAGCUGAGCUGUGAGAUGGAGCAAGAUGAAGGCCACAUGACAUCUUUGGAGCACCUGGAUCUAACUGUGCCUUAAGCUAGUCUAACCCUGAACAUUUCAUCAUUUCAUUGACAUGAGCCCAGGUUUUCUUUUUUUUUGGAUGGAGUCUUGCUCUGUCGCCCAGGCUGGAGUGCAGUAGCUCAAUCUCGGCUCACUGCAAGCUCCACCUCCCGGGUUCACGCCAUUCUCCUGCCUUAGCCUCCCAAGUAGCUGGGACAACAGGCGCCCACCACCACUCCCAGCUAAUUUUUUGUAUUUUUAGUAGAGACGGGGUUUUACCAUGUUAGCCGGGAUGGUCUUGAUCUCCUGACCUCAUGAUCCGCCCGCCUCGGCCUCCCAAAGUGCUGGGAUUACAGGUGUGAGCCACUGCACCCAGCCCUCAGGUUUUCCCUUUUUUUACCCCUCCUUUUGAAAAUUUGAUGUGGAAUUUUGCCACCUGCAGCCAGAAGAGUUUUAACUAAUCAGUGCCAUAAAUUUUAUAUAGUUCUCCUUGCAAAAUGUGGAUCAGCCUUUCUCAGCAAAUCCUUUGUCAUAAAGUGCUGAAUUGUAAGUUUGUCAUGAGAAUCACAUGAGAUCAUGCAUGUGAAGAACCUGGCAUUAUCCUCCUCAUAGAAAAAAACCAGUAAAUAUUAACUACAGGAAGCAAGGAAGGAGUGGGGUGAGGGGAAGAAGAAGGGGUACUGAUUUAAAAGAACCCUGGAGUCCUAAGGAUAAUCUAGGAACCCUCAGACCCAAUCCGAUACCCCUAUUCUAAAUGCUCCUAGUGCCCUGUACCUUCCCCUCAUAAGCCUUCAUUAUCAUUGUAAUGAUAUGUUUAUGUAAUAUUUUGAUUAAUGUCUCUCCUUCACUGACCUAGCAGUUCUAGCAGGGCAGUGAUUUUGCUGUGUUGCAUCCCCAGCACCUAGUCUGGUAUGUGGCAUUCAGCAUAUGUUUAUUGAAUGAAUGGCCAUGUGGUUAUUCAGAUCCUCCUUGAUUAUUGGGGUUAGGAUUGUGGCAGAAGUGGCAAAAUCAGGGAGAGUAGUCCCUGUCCCCUCUGUAUCUUAUACACUGCCCACACUCCCAACACACAUACACAUACAGAGAAUUUUGUCUCAAUUAGAUAAUUAACUUCUGCUUGGUUGUAAACCAAACCACUGGUUCUUAAACUUUCAUUGGAUCAUUUUAUUGAAGAAUUAAAUAGUGUGGUUCUGGCCUAAUGUCUGGAAAGCCUUGCAGAGGAGUGGAUUAGGUCUUUGUGAUAAACAGGCAGCCUUCCCUGCUCCUGUGUCUUUAUAAAAUCUAUUUAACUGGAGUAGUCCACCCUCCCUCAGGCUCUUACAGGAAUAUGUUGGAGGCUGUAGGAAGGUGGGAAACCGAGAGGGAAAGGACUGGGCCGCUGGAGACUUCACUCAUUCCCUAGCAAGAAACAAAAGCAGUAAAAGGUGGCCCGAGGACAACCUGAAGCUCACUCCUUCAGCACUUUUGGCUGGAGGUCACUUGUUGGAGCCCCACUCAGAGCUCAGCACACCACCCCACCAGCAGCCUCCUCCUCCCAGCUGAGGCUGCAUUUCAUCCCUUCCCCCAGCCUGCUUUCCCUGAGAUAGGGGAGUGUUUCCCAGGGCCCAUGUGACUUCCACUGGCAAGUGACGAUUACCAAUGGUUUACUAGUCAGUGAAACUACCAAAGGCUUUUGUGCUGUAGUAAUCCUUUUCCUGUUUAAAACUCUGGGGAUUUUCUAAUGUUGCCAAUAGUUUUUCAAGUCAGCAAUUACUGUGUGGAUUAUGUAAUGGCUCGGUAUUAAAAAUAGAAAAGACUGGA
rnacentral:lncRNA from 1 species